UAUGUUGGUUCAAGCCUGUAGUCGUGCCUGGUAGGUAAAUCCGCCGGGCUUAGAUGAGGGGUGAUAACGAGGCGGCUUGCCGCCGAAGUGAGUGAUACCCUGCUUCCAGGAGAAGCCACUAAGCUUCAGCUACACACGACCGUACCGCAAACCGACACUGGUGCGCGAGAUGAGUAUUCUAAGGCGCUUGAGAGAACUCAGGAGAAGGAACUCGGCAAAUUGACACCGUAACUUCGGAAGAAGGUGUGCCUUUAGUAGGUGAAGUCCCUGCGGAUGGAGCCCAAUGAGGUUGCAAAAAAUCGGUGGCUGCGACUGUUUAAUAAAAACACAGCACUCUGCAAACACGAAAGUGGACGUAUAGGGUGUGACGCCUGCCCGGUGCUGGAAGAUUAAAUGAUGGGGUGCAAGCUCUUGAUUGAAGUCCCAGUAAACGGCGGCCGUAACAAUAACGGUCCUAAGGUAGCGAAAUUCCUUGUCGGGUAAGUUCCGACCUGCACGAAUGGCGUAACGAUGGCCACACUGUCUCCUCCUGAGACUCAGCGAAGUUGAAAUGUUUGUGAUGAUGCAAUCUCCCCGCGGAAAGACGGAAAGACCCCAUGAACCUUUACUGUAGCUUUGUAUUGGACUUUGAACGGAUCUGUGUAGGAUAGGUGGGAGGCUUUGAAGCAGGGUCGCUAGAUCUUGUGGAGCCAACGUUGAAAUACCACCCUGGUGCGUUUGAGGUUCUAACCUAGGUCCAUUAUCUGGAUCGGGGACAGUGCAUGGUAGGCAGUUUGACUGGGGCGGUCUCCUCCCAAAGCGUAACGGAGGAGUUCGAAGGUACGCUAGUUACGGUCGGACAUCGUGACGAUAGUGCAAUGGCAUAAGCGUGCUUAACUGCGAGACUGACAAGUCGAGCAGAUGCGAAAGCAGGACAUAGUGAUCCGGUGGUUCUGUAUGGAAGGGCCAUCGCUCAACGGAUAAAAGGUACUCUGGGGAUAACAGGCUGAUACCGCCCAAGAGUUCAUAUCGACGGCGGUGUUUGGCACCUCGAUGUCGGCUCAUCUCAUCCUGGGGCUGUAGCCGGUCCCAAGGGUAUGGCUGUUCGCCAUUUAAAGAGGUACGUGAGCUGGGUUUAAAACGUCGUGAGACAGUUUGGUCCCUAUCUUCCGUGGGCGCUGCAGAUUUGAGAAAGCCUGCUCCUAGUACGAGAGGACCGGAGUGGACGCACCUCUGGUGUAUCGGUUGUCACGCCAGUGGCAUUGCCGAGUAGCUAAGUGCGGAAGAGAUAACCGCUGAAAGCAUCUAAGCGGGAAACUCGUUUCAAGAUGAGAUCUGCCGGGGCCUUGAGCCCCCUAAAGAGUCGUUCAAGACCAGGACGUUGAUAGGUCAGGUGUGGAAGCGCAGUAAUGCGUUAAGCUAACUGAUACUAAUUGCUCGUGCGGCUUGACCU
rnacentral:rRNA from 1 species